rnacentral:rRNA from 1 species
CCUACGGGUGGCAGCAGUGAGGAAUAUUGGUCAAUGGGCGAGAGCCUGAACCAGCCAAGUCGCGUGAGGGAGUACUGCCCAUUGGGUUGUAAACCUCUUUUGUCGGGGAGCAAAAGCCGGACGUGUCCGGCUGUGAGAGUACCCGAAGAACAAGCAUCGGCUAACUCCGUGCCAGCAGCCGCGGUAAUACGGGGGAUGCGAGCGUUAUCCGGCUUUAUUGGGUUUAAAGGGUGCGGAGGCGGAUGUUUAAGUCAGCGGUAAAAUCGUGGGGCUCAACCCCGUCGAGCCGUUGAUACUGGGGAGCUGGAGUGUGCGUGAGGUAUGCGGAAUGCGUGGUGUAGCGGUGAAAUGCAGAGAUAUCACGCAGAACCCCGAUUGCGAAGGCAGCAUACCGAUGCACAAUUGACGCUCAGGCACGAAAGCGUGGGUAUCGAACAGGAUUAGAUACCCUAGUAGUC